UGACCAGUGCUGACCAGCACUAUUGGCUGGUGCUGUCCAGCACUCUUGACGGGUGAACAGCACUCAGUGUUGGGUCACCUCUGGAGGUGUUAGUUGUCUGACACCGCCUGUUAGUGCGGCUGCCUCCAUGGCUUGUCUGGCCCAGCGUCUGGUGACGUCCAUCAGCCCGACCUCAGACUAUGGCUGUGGGCUGCUGCGGCGUCAUCUCAUAUGAGCGCCUCUGGCUGCGAACAGCUAGCAAGGAUCCACUUGAAGUGCAGGUCUGCCUGGUGAGGUUUUAAGAAAAUGACCCAAGAAAGCACCACAAGAGCAGAC